rnacentral:rRNA from 1 species
AGAGUUUGAUCAUGGCUCAGGACGAACGCUGGCGGCGUGCCUAACACAUGCAAGUCGAGCGAAUGAAGUUCCUUCGGGGAUGGAUUUAGCGGCGGACGGGUGAGUAUCACGUGGGCAACCUGCCUCAUAGAGGGGAAUAGCCUUCCGAAAGGGAGAUUAAUACCGCAUAAGAUUGUAGUAUCGCAUGAUACAGCAAUUAAAGGAGCAAUCCGCUAUGAGAUGGGCCCGCGGCGCAUUAGCUAGUUGGUGAGGUAACGGCUCACCAAGGCGACGAUGCGUAGCCGACCUGAGAGGGUGAUCGGCCACAUUGGGACUGAGACACGGCCCAGACUCCUACGGGAGGCAGCAGUGGGGAAUAUUGCACAAUGGGGAAACCCUGAUGCAGCAACGCCGCGUGAGUGAUGACGGCCUUCGGGUUGUAAAGCUCUGUCUUCAGGGACGAUAAUGACGGUACCUGAGGAGGAAGCCACGGCUAACUACGUG